AUGAACGCUAGCUACAGGCUUAACACAUGCAAGUCGAGGGGCAGCAUGGUCUUAGCUUGCUAAGGCCGAUGGCGACCGGCGCACGGGUGAGUAACACGUAUCCAACCUGCCGUCUACUCUUGGACAGCCUUCUGAAAGGAAGAUUAAUACAAGAUGGCAUCAUGAGUCCGCAUGUUCACAUGAUUAAAGGUAUUCCGGUAGACGAUGGGGAUGCGUUCCAUUAGAUAGUAGGCGGGGUAACGGCCCACCUAGUCUUCGAUGGAUAGGGGUUCUGAGAGGAAGGUCCCCCACAUUGGAACUGAGACACGGUCCAAACUCCUACGGGAGGCAGCAGUGAGGAAUAUUGGUCAAUGGGCGAGAGCCUGAACCAGCCAAGUAGCGUGAAGGAUGACUGCCCUAUGGGUUGUAAACUUCUUUUAUAAAGGAAUAAAGUCGGGUAUGCAUACCCGUUUGCAUGUACUUUAUGAAUAAGGAUCGGCUAACUCCGUGCCAGCAGCCGCGGUAAUACGGAGGAUCCGAGCGUUAUCCGGAUUUAUUGGGUUUAAAGGGAGCGUAGAUGGAUGUUUAAGUCAGUUGUGAAAGUUUGCGGCUCAACCGUAAAAUUGCAGUUGAUACUGGAUAUCUUGAGUGCAGUUGAGGCAGGCGGAAUUCGUGGUGUAGCGGUGAAAUGCUUAGAUAUCACGAAGAACUCCGAUUGCGAAGGCAGCCUGCUAAGCUGCAACUGACAUUGAGGCUCGAAAGUGUGGGUAUCAAACAGGAUUAGAUACCCUGGUAGUCCACACGGUAAACGAUGAAUACUCGCUGUUUGCGAUAUACGGCAAGCGGCCAAGCGAAAGCGUUAAGUAUUCCACCUGGGGAGUACGCCGGCAACGGUGAAACUCAAAGGAAUUGACGGGGCCCGCACAAGCGGAGGAACAUGUGGUUUAAUUCGAUGAUACGCGAGGAACCUUACCCGGGCUUAAAUUGCAGAUGAAUUACGGUGAAAGCCGUAAGCCGCAAGGCAUCUGUGAAGGUGCUGCAUGGUUGUCGUCAGCUCGUGCCGUGAGGUGUCGGCUUAAGUGCCAUAACGAGCGCAACCCUUGUUGUCAGUUACUAACAGGUUCCGCUGAGGACUCUGACAAGACUGCCAUCGUAAGAUGUGAGGAAGGUGGGGAUGACGUCAAAUCAGCACGGCCCUUACGUCCGGGGCUACACACGUGUUACAAUGGGGGGUACAGAGGGCCGCUACCACGCGAGUGGAUGCCAAUCCCCAAAACCUCUCUCAGUUCGGACUGGAGUCUGCAACCCGACUCCACGAAGCUGGAUUCGCUAGUAAUCGCGCAUCAGCCACGGCGCGGUGAAUACGUUCCCGGGCCUUGUACACACCGCCCGUCAAGCCAUGGGAGCCGGGGGUACCUGAAGUGCGUAACCGCGAGGAGCGCCCUAGGGUAAAACUGGUGACUGGGGCU
rnacentral:rRNA from 1 species